CAGCAGCCGCGGUAAUACGAAGGGGGCUAGCGUUGCUCGGAAUUACUGGGCGUAAAGGGAGCGUAGGCGGACAUUUAAGUCAGGGGUGAAAUCCCAGAGCUCAACUCUGGAACUGCCUUUGAUACUGGGUGUCUUGAGUGUGAUAGAGGUAUGUGGGACUCCGAGUGUAGGGGUGAAAUUCGUAGAUAUUCGGAAGAACACCAGUGGCGAAGGCGACAUACUGGAUCAUUACCGACGCUGAGGCUCGAAAGCGUGGGGAGCAAACAGGAUUAGAUACCCCUGUAGUCCCUGUCUCUUAUAC
rnacentral:rRNA from 1 species